UGGCAGACGGGUGCGUAACGCGUGGGAACUUACCUGGUAGUAGGGGAUAACCAGUGGAAACAUUGGGUAACACCCUAUACGCCCUCCGGGGGAAAAUUUAUUGCUAUCAGAUAGGCCCGCGUUAGAUUAGCUUGUUGGUGAGGUAAUGGCUCACCAAGGCGACGAUCUAUAGCUGGUCUGAGAGGAUGAUCAGCCACACUGGAACUGAGACACGGUCCAGACUCCUACGGGAGGCAGCAGUGAGGAAUAUUGGACAAUGGGCGAAAGCCUGAUCCAGCCAUGCCGCAUGAGUGAUGAAGGCCCUUGGGUUGUAAAGCUCUUAGUGGGGAAGAUAAUGACGGUACCCACAGAAGAAGUCCCGGCUAACUCCGUGCCAGCAGCCGCGGUAAUACGGAGGGGGCUAGCGUUGUUCGGAAUUACUGGGCGUAAAG
rnacentral:rRNA from 1 species